rnacentral:rRNA from 1 species
GACGAACGCUGGCGGCGUGCUUAACACAUGCAAGUCGAACGGAAAGGCCCUGCUUUUGUGGGGUGCUCGAGUGGCGAACGGGUGAGUAACACGUGAGUAACCUGCCCUUGACUUUGGGAUAACUUCAGGAAACUGGGGCUAAUACCGGAUAGGAGCUCCUGCUGCAUGGUGGGGGUUGGAAAGUUUCGGCGGUUGGGGAUGGACUCGCGGCUUAUCAGCUUGUUGGUGGGGUAGUGGCUUACCAAGGCUUUGACGGGUAGCCGGCCUGAGAGGGUGAACGGGCACAUUGGUACUGAGAUACGGACCAGACGGCUACGGGAGGCAGCAGUGGGGAAUAUUGCACAAUGGGCGGAAGCCUGAUGCAGCAACGCCGCGUGCGGGAUGACGGCCUUCGGGUUGUAAACCGCUGUCGCCUGUGACGAAGCGUGAGUGACGGUAAUGGGUAAAGAAGCACCGGCUAACUACGUG